GGAAAGGUGGCUCAGUGGUAGAGCACUUGCCUUGCAUGCAUGAGGCCUUGGGUUCAGUUCCUCAGUACCA
rnacentral:tRNA from 1 species